rnacentral:ncRNA from 2 species
CAACUAAAUCAUUUGUUUGCAGAUAUAUCGCUGGAAAAUGGCCGGCAGUUUCUACCACGUCCCAAAAUUCGUGACUAUUCGCAGAUGUUAGGCAAUG